GAAGCUUCUAGCUUGCUAGAAGUGGAUUAGUGGCGCACGGGUGAGUAAGGUAUAGUUAAUCUGCCCUACACAAGAGGACAACAGUUGGAAACGACUGCUAAUACUCUAUACUCCUGCUUAACACAAGUUGAGUAGGGAAAGUUUUUCGGUGUAGGAUGAGACUAUAUAGUAUCAGCUAGUUGGUAAGGUAAUGGCUUACCAAGGCUAUGACGCUUAACUGGUCUGAGAGGAUGAUCAGUCACACUGGAACUGAGACACGGUCCAGACUCCUACGGGAGGCAGCAGUAGGGAAUAUUGCGCAAUGGGGGAAACCCUGACGCAGCAACGCCGCGUGGAGGAUGACACUUUUCGGAGCGUAAACUCCUUUUCUUAGGGAAGAAUUCUGACGGUACCUAAGGAAUAAGCACCGGCUAACUCCGUGCCAGCAGCCGCGGUAAUACGGAGGGUGCAAGCGUUACUCGGAAUCACUGGGCGUAAAGGGCGCGUAGGCGGAUUAUCAAGUCUCUUGUGAAAUCUAAUGGCUUAACCAUUAAACUGCUUGGGAAACUGAUAGUCUAGAGUGAGGGAGAGGCAGAUGGAAUUGGUGGUGUAGGGGUAAAAUCCGUAGAUAUCACCAAGAAUACCCAUUGCGAAGGCGAUCUGCUGGAACUCAACUGACGCUAAGGCGCGAAAGCGUGGGGAGCAAACAGGAUUAGAUACCCUGGUAGUCCACGCCCUAAACGAUGUACACUAGUUGUUGGGGUGCUAGUCAUCUCAGUAAUGCAGCUAACGCAUUAAGUGUACCGCCUGGGGAGUACGGUCGCAAGAUUAAAACUCAAAGGAAUAGACGGGGACCCGCACAAGCGGUGGAGCAUGUGGUUUAAUUCGAAGAUACGCGAAGAACCUUACCUGGGCUUGAUAUCCUAAGAACCUUUUAGAGAUAAGAGGGUGCUAGCUUGCUAGAACUUAGAGACAGGUGCUGCACGGCUGUCGUCAGCUCGUGUCGUGAGAUGUUGGGUUAAGUCCCGCAACGAGCGCAACCCACGUAUUUAGUUGCUAACGGUUCGGCCGAGCACUCUAAAUAGACUGCCUUCGUAAGGAGGAGGAAGGUGUGGACGACGUCAAGUCAUCAUGGCCCUUAUGCCCAGGGCGACACACGUGCUACAAUGGCAUAUACAAUGAGACGCAAUACCGCGAGGUGGAGCAAAUCUAUAAAAUAUGUCCCAGUUCGGAUUGUUCUCUGCAACUCGAGAGCAUGAAGCCGGAAUCGCUAGUAAUCGUAGAUCAGCCAUGCUACGGUGAAUACGUUCCCGGGUCUUGUACUCACCGCCCGUCACACCAUGGGAGUUGAUUUCACUCGAAGCCGGAAUACUAA
rnacentral:rRNA from 2 species